AUUGAACGCUGGCGGCAGGCCUAACACAUGCAAGUCGAGCGGAUGAAGGGAGCUUGCUCCUGGAUUCAGCGGCGGACGGGUGAGUAAUGCCUAGGAAUCUGCCUGGUAGUGGGGGGUAACGUCCGGAAACGGGCGCUAAUACCGCAUACGUCCUGAGGGAGAAAGUGGGGGAUCUUCGGACCUCACGCUAUCAGAUGAGCCUAGGUCGGAUUAGCUAGUUGGUGGGGUAAAGGCCUACCAAGGCGACGAUCCGUAACUGGUCUGAGAGGAUGAUCAGUCACACUGGAACUGAGACACGGUCCAGACUCCUACGGGAGGCAGCAAUGGGGAAUAUUGGACAAUGGGCGAAAGCCUGAUCCAGCCAUGCCGCGUGUGUGAAGAAGGUCUUCGGAUUGUAAAGCACUUUAAGUUGGGAGGAAGGGCAGUAAGUUAAUACCUUGCUGUUUUGACGUUACCAACAGAAUAAGCACCGGCUAACUUCGUG
rnacentral:rRNA from 1 species